AUUGAACGCUGGCGGCAGGCCUAACACAUGCAAGUCGAGCGGGGUUUUCGGACCUAGCGGCGGACGGGUGAGUAAUGCGUAGGAAGCUGCCCGAUAGAGGGGGAUACCAGUUGGAAACGACUGUUAAUACCGCAUAAUGUCUACGGACCAAAGUGUGGGACCUUCGGGCCACAUGCUAUCGGAUGCGCCUACGUGGGAUUAGCUAGUUGGUGAGGUAAUGGCUCACCAAGGCGACGAUCUCUAGCUGGUUUGAGAGGAUGAUCAGCCACACUGGAACUGAGACACGGUCCAGACUCCUACGGGAGGCAGCAGUGGGGAAUAUUGGACAAUGGGCGCAAGCCUGAUCCAGCCAUGCCGCGUGUGUGAAGAAGGCCUUCGGGUUGUAAAGCACUUUCAGCGAGGAGGAAGGGGUGUGUGUUAAUAGUACACACCUUUGACGUUACUCGCAGAAGAAGCACCGGCUAACUCUGUGCCAGCAGCCGCCGCGUAAA
rnacentral:rRNA from 1 species